CCCCAUCCACGCUCGACCCAGCACCCCCGCCCCUGAAUCCCAUACUCACGUGGCCACCCAAUCCCCAUCGACAACUCCCCACACCCGUACCUCCGACGCACGCCACCGCCCAUCCCCAUCCACGUCGCCGCCGCCGCAUCCGGUCCAAAUCGAGCAGCAGGGCAGCCGGCGGCCAGAUCCACCACGGUGCUUCCAGAUCCGCGGUUGCCCAAGCAAUGGAGCUCAUCCACAAGACAUGGUUCCUGUCUUCGUCAAGUUCGUGUUACUGCUGCUGAAGAACUCAGCAUACCCUUCAAGUUCGUCCAGAUCCACAGUGUCCAGAGGGACGUGACGGAGGAGGAGGUUGAGGAGAAGGGCCACCGGGAGGUCUUCAUGGCUCAGCUCCUUGCGCACAACCGGUGCUGCUCACCCUAGUAUACGGGACAAGAUGACCCCUAGAUGGACCUGACCUGUUCGCCAAGGUCAAGAGGAUAAGAAGCCCUGCCCAUUUCAUGGCGCGCUUCAUCAACAUCACGACCAAGCCAGCCCUCAAGCAAAAGACUAUUAUGAUUUUCAACGGUGAACUAAAGCGCCAAAGGAAAGCUUGUGAAAACUUUGAAGAAAUCCUUGUGGUUCAGACCUUUGGAGGAUGUAAUUAUCUUCAUACACAUUUACUCCCUUCAGACAUUUGGAGGAUGUAAUUAUCUUUAUUAUGAGACGGAGGGACUACUUCAUCACUUUAUGUCUUACCUUUUGUAAUUCUGUCUGUUGGGCUUUGCUUGGUAGCGUUUAGUUUAAAUAGUUUUUUAUGAAAGCGCUACUCACAUAUGGCCUUGUCUUUUUUCUCAAAGGUGCCAAAAUUGCUUUGUGUUAUCCUCUAUCCAGAUUGUAGAAAAGCUUGUCGACAUCGUCACUUUUCUGAAUAAACAAAUCCGGGAUGAAUUCGGUGAAGCUGUUCCUGUAGGUACCGACUUCAUGGAGCAAGGCCAGAACAAAAGGCUAGGUUCAUGUGGUCUACCACUACAUUAUGCUAACAUCAUCAAUCAAACUGAAAAUAUAGUUGCCAAUGCCUUUGCAUCCACAAGUUUCUAGAGGUGUGUUUGCUGAGCUAAAAGGAUCUUCUGCUGCCAUAUGUUUCUACCUAAAAGGAGAUCAUAUAUUUUGCGCUUUUGUUUAUGAUGUAAUAAUGGCAUAUGAACGUACAUAUGUAUGCAUGUAGACCUGAUGGAUGGUUGUGCUUUUGGCUUGACUAUGCCUAUGUGUGCAUGUAGGCAUGCAUGAUGGAUCUUUGUGCUUUUGAUGUCCUGCACUUGUGAACCUAUGUAUGGAUGAUAGAUUGCUUAUAUAUGCACGCACACAUUAUCUAUUAA